AACGAACGCUGGCGGCGUGGAUAAGACAUGCAAGUCGAGCGGGAACUUUCGCUGUAGCAAUACAGUGAAAGUUCUAGCGGCGAACGGGUGCGUAACACGUGGACAAUCUGCCUUAAAGUGGGGGAUAGCUCGGCGAAAGCCGAAUUAAUACCGCAUGUGAUGAGAGACGACAUCGUCUUGAAAUCAAAGCCGGGGCAACCUGGCGCUUUUUGAGGAGUCCGCGGCCUAUCAGCUAGUUGGUGAGGUAACGGCCCACCAAGGCUAUGACGGGUAGCUGGUCUGAGAGGACGACCAGUCACACUGGAACUGAGACACGGUCCAGACACCUACGGGUGGCAGCAGUCGAGUAAUUUUUGAC
rnacentral:rRNA from 1 species